CUUGCUAAAUGCUUCUUGGAUCUAAACCCCCCUGCAAAUUCCCUCAAAAUUCCCUGUCCGAAACACAACCAAAGCCGUGUCCCUUUCUGAAAAAAAUGCAAGGGAGGGGAAAAAAAAAGCCCUGCGAGGAGCCGACCCGUUUCCAAAUGCCCGCAAGCGGAGGCAUUGCCCCAUUUGCUCCGCUGCAUUUCGGGGCCAAGCCUGGCCACAGCUCCCUGAGAUGGCGACCGCGCCGCGUCCCCUCCAUCCGAGGGCCUUGCGUCCAGCAGGCAGCCCCAGCCCGGCACCGUGCGCUGCGGUGCCUUCGGCUGCCCCAAACCUGCCCACGGGCGUGCUCAGGCUUCCCCUCUUUGCUGCGAGCCCGGCGAGGAAUUUGGUUUCUGUCCCUGGCAGAGGACUGCUGUUAUUAAUAUCCCUCCUCAUUUCUUCUGCGCCGCCGGUGAGUGGCUGUAACCGGAGAGCAGCGCCGGGGGGGUCGCGAACAACCGGGGCUGGCGCUUCUCAGUCGCCGAAACUUUCGGCAAUUUUCUUUGCUCACCCGUGGGGAGGGCUCCGAGAGCUGCGUUCGCCGCUGGCUUUGCGCCCAGGGGCUGCUCCGCGUGGGUCGCUCGGUGUUCGAAGCAAAGCCGCGGCCGUCUCCAAAAAAUCCCUGCCCAGCUUUCCUGGCCGAAAGCCAGAAGAGAC